rnacentral:rRNA from 1 species
UACAGAGGAUGCAAGCGUUAUCCGGAAUGAUUGGGCGUAAAGCGUCUGUAGGUGGCUUUUUAAGUCCGCCGUCAAAUCCCAGGGCUCAACUCUGGACAGGCGGUGGAAACUACCAAGCUGGAGUACGGUAGGGGCAGAGGGAAUUUCCGGUGGAGCGGUGAAAUGCGUAGAUAUCAGGAGGAACACCGGUGGCGAAGGCGGGUCUCUGGGCCGUUACUGACGCUCAUGCGCGACAGCGUGGGGAUCAAACAGG